AUGAUCGGGAAGUGUAGGAUCAAACGGUUGACUCUUUCGGGGAGAAAAAAGCCCUGAAGAGAAAGACGCCCUGUGGAAACGCAGGGAGAGCGUCUCGGAUCAUUGACAACUAAAUAGGAGCAGCAACGUCCAAUUAAAGGGCCCUGAUCACGAAACACAGGAACAAAAUGAAUCUGGAGAGUUUGAUCCUGGCUCAGAACGAACGCUGGCGGCGUGCCUAACACAUGCAAGUCCAACGUGAAAGGGGAGCAAUCCCCCGGUAGGGUGGCAAACGGGUGAGUAAUACAUGGGUGAUCUACCUUAGGGAUGGGGAUAUCCUUCCGAAAGGAGGGGCAAUACCGAAUAUUGUCCGGAGCCGUGAAGGGUUCCGGGGAAAGGGAGGCCUCUGAUACAAGCUUUCGCCUUAAGAUGAG
rnacentral:rRNA from 1 species